rnacentral:rRNA from 1 species
UAUAAAAUAACCUCCACGAAGAAAGGAAUAAUAAUCCUCAUCUAAGAGCCACACCUCUAAGAGCUAACACAUUAACUUUUAAUGAUCCGAUAUUUGAUCAACGAACCAAGUUACCCUGGGGAUAACAGCGCAAUCCACCUCAAGAGCCCCUAUCGACAGGUGGGUUUACGACCUCGAUGUUGGAUCAGGGUAUCCCAGUGGUGCAGCAGCUACCAAAGGUUCGUUUGUUCAACGAUUAAAACCCU